rnacentral:rRNA from 1 species
GGAGACCCCUAGCGUUGUUCGGAAUUACUGGGCUUAAAGCGCGUGUAGGCGGAACGGAAAGUACCUUGUGAAAUCCCCCGGCUCAACCGGGGAAUUGCUUGGUAUACUAUCGUUCUUGAGGUAGGUAGGGGCUGCUGGAACGUUAGGUGGAGCGGUGAAAUGCGUAGAUAUCUAACGGAACGCCUGUGGCGAAAGCGGGCAGCUGGGCCUAUCCUGACGCUGAGACGCGAAAGCGUAGGGAGCGGACGGGAUUAGAUACCCGGUAGUCUACGCCGUAAACGAUGCGUACUAGGUUCGAGAGCCUCUGACGGUCCCUCGUGCCGAAACAAAAGCAAUAAGUACGCCGCCUGGGGAGUACGGCCGCAAGGCUA